CCUACGGGAGGCAGCAGUGAGGAAUAUUGGUCAAUGGACGAGAGUCUGAACCAGCCAAGUAGCGUGAAGGAUGACUGCCCUAUGGGUUGUAAACUUCUUUUAUAUGGGAGUAAAAUGUUCCACGUGUGGGAUUUUGUAUGUACCAUAUGAAUAAGGAUCGGCUAACUCCGUGCCAGCAGCCGCGGUAAUACGGAGGAUCCGAGCGUUAUCCGGAUUUAUUGGGGUUAAAGGGAGCGUAGGUGGAUGGUUAAGUCAGUUGUGAAAGUUUGCGGCUCAACCGUAAAAUUGCAGUUGAAACUGGCAGUCUUGAGUACAGUAGAGGUGGGCGGAAUUCGUGGUGUAGCGGUGAAAUGCUUAGAUAUCACGAAGAACUCCGAUUGCGAAGGCAGUUCACUGGACUGCAACUGACACUGAGGCUCGAAAGUGUGGGUAUCAAACAGGAUUAGAUACCCGUGUAGUC
rnacentral:rRNA from 1 species